rnacentral:rRNA from 1 species
GACGAACGUUGGCGGCGUGCUUAACACAUGCAAGUCGAACGGAAAGGCCCUGCUUUUGUGGGGUGCUCGAGUGGCGAACGGGUGAGUAACACGUGAGUAACCUGCCCUUGACUUUGGGACAACUUCAGGAAACUGGGGCUAAUACCGGAUAGGAGCUCCUGCUGCAUGGUGGGGGUUGGAAAGUUUCGGCGGUUGGGGAUGGACUCGCGGCUUAUCAGCUUGUUGGUGGGGUAGUGGCUUACCAAGGCUUUGACGGGUAGCCGGCCUGAGAGGGUGACCGGCCACAUUGGGACUGAGAUACGGCCCAGACUCCUACGGGAGGCAGCAGUGGGGAAUAUUGCACAAUGGGCGGAAGCCUGAUGCAGCAACGCCGCGUGCGGGAUGACGGCCUUCGGGUUGUAAACCGCUUUCGCCUGUGACGAAGCGUGAGUGACGGUAAUGGGUAAAGAAGCACCGGCUAACUACGUGCCAGCAGCCGCGGUGAUACGUAGGGUGCGAGCGUUGUCCGGAUUUAUUGGGCGUAAAGGGCUCGUAGGUGGUUGAUCGCGUCGGAAGUGUAAUCUUGGGGCUUAACCCUGAGCGUGCUUUCGAUACGGGUUGACUUGAGGAAGGUAGGGGAGAAUGGAAUUCCUGGUGGAGCGGUGGAAUGCGCAGAUAUCAGGAGGAACACCAGUGGCGAAGGCGGUUCUCUGGGCCUUUCCUGACGCUGAGGAGCGAAAGCGUGGGGAGCGAACAGGCUUAGAUACCCUGGUAGUCCACGCUGUAAACGGUGGGUACUAGGUGUGGGGUCCAUUCCACGGGUUCCGUGCCGUAGCUAACGCUUUAAGUACCCCGCCUGGGGAGUACGGCCGCAAGGCUAAAACUCAAAGGAAUUGACGGGGCCCCGCACAAGCGGCGGAGCAUGCGGAUUAAUUCGAUGCAACGCGUAGAACCUUACCUGGGUUUGACAUGGAUCGGGAGUGCUCAGAGAUGGGUGUGCCUCUUUUGGGGUCGGUUCACAGGUGGUGCAUGCCUGUCGUCAGCUCGUGUCGUGAGAUGUUGGGUUAAGUCCCGCAACGAGCGCAACCCUUGUUCACUGUUGCCAGCACGUUAUGGUGGGGACUCAGUGGAGACCGCCGGGGUCAACUCGGAGGAAGGUGGGGAUGACGUCAAGUCAUCAUGCCCCUUAUGUCCAGGGCUUCACGCAUGCUACAAUGGCUGGUACAGAGAGUGGCGAGCCUGUGAGGGUGAGCGAAUCUCGGAAAGCCGGUCUCAGUUCGGAUUGGGGUCUGCAACUCGACCUCAUGAAGUCGGAGUCGCUAGUAAUCGCAGAUCAGCAACGCUGCGGUGAAUACGUUCCCGGG